rnacentral:lncRNA from 1 species
GCAGGCAGAAUCAGCCUCCCACAGAUCAGCAUUCCCUUGGAGCUGCAGGAGAUGGGCAUCUGCCAUGAUGCAGUAUGUGAGCCUAUGUUAUGAUAACCUGUUAUCCUAACCUAAAACCUGUUUUGGUUUUAGAAUUACAGGUAAGCAUAUUCUUCUGAUAUUUGUGUGUAUUUCCUGCUUAAAUUGUUGUUCUCACUCAGCUAACUGUGCCAGUGUACAGUAAUACUCUGAGGCAAAUAUUCCUGCCAUCUCUGAUACUGAUGGAAGUUUUCUGCAUGAAGACAGGCACCUUUGAGUCUAAACUUCUGUCUGCAUCUACUCAAAUCUUUCGAGCUCUAAGAAUCUUUAGGCCAGAAUUAGAGGGGAUCUAAUUUUUUUUCCUUGCCCUUCCAGGUUAAUUUUAAGCCCAGCAUUAACAGAUUUUCCAAAGCUGUAAAUUGAAGACUUGCUCCCUAUAGAGAGGUGAAGAAAAGAUGCAACAGCUGAAUGUGGUAGUUGGACUUGGGACAGAUGGCGUGCAAGAGCAAAUGCUCCAGAAGGGAAAGUGGUUUUACAGAGAGGGAUUACAUGGGCUCUACGCUGACUGAACAGUCCUGCACUGCUCUUUGAAUGUUUAACUGUUGUCACAGAACUAAAGAUGAUGCCUCCUCCCCAUCUCACAUGUGGAAGAGGAGCUGCAGUCCCCAUGGGCUCCCUGCAUGGCUCAUGAAUUUCCCAGAUGAUUCUCCAGAGCGGUGAGGAUGCUGAAACUGGGGAAGUUGUGUGGAGGAUUAACACUGUUUUACUGGGAUCUGUCUCUAAAUUGUUAUGUGUAAAAUAACAAGCAUGGAUUUCAGGAUUGCUGCUGUGAUACAGUCAUGUGCUAGAUUUUGGUUAUUGCGUGUCCCUGAGGAGAGAAAGAGAACGUCAGCUAAAAUGUUGAAUGCUUUGUUAGUGAUUGCCAGCAUGCUUGAAAAGCUGAAGCUCAUGGAAAGAGUAGGUUUUGAGCAACAGGGACACACUAUGCAAGACUGCCCUUGCUCUGGUGGUUACGCUAGCUGCGUUACAGACCCCGCUCUUAUGAGGGUAACAUGCCUAGGGAAUAUAAAUAGAACAAACCUGCUGUGGUCGCAUAUAAGAAGACUGUAACUCAGUGGCUCUGCCAUAUACGUGAGUUACGUAAGUGCCAUUUUGGAAAUCUUGGCCUCACUUUUGGCUGCUCCAUGACAGGAAACAAACUCCAUGGGUGUGUUGGAGUCCUGCAGGCCUCCUGCUCCUGUCUGGCUUCACGGACUGGGCUCUUGCUGUAAGAUUUUGCAUCUCUUGUUGUACCUCCUGCUUUGUCUUUAUUGCAAAGGAGCAUGGCAGAAAAGAGCCUGUGCAGCUCUACAAAUGAGGACAAAUAAUAAACAGAAAUAGAAGCUCUGUGAUUUGGUGGGAAUAUCUGUAACAAAGCUAGGGCUAUGAAACUGGCAUUUCUACUGGCUGCUUUGAACCAAUUUUAUUCCACUGUGGUGCAAAGAAUUCAUUUUUUCUGUGUAAAAGAUGGUGAUGUUAGGAAAAUCCAUGCUGUACAUUUACUGAUAGUGUUAUUCUGCCAUAGCUCUAACUGCUGUACUACAGGAACAGCAGUGGUACUUCUGAAGCUUUGAAACAGCAAAGUGUGACAGCCUCUAUGUGUCACCCUCCACUGAUCAACACUGUAGCUCUUUACCAUCUGGGUUUUGGGGAACCUCUCAUCAUUAAGGCUGUUCUGGUGUGUGUUCCUGUGUUGCCAGCUUGCAGUGCAGUAUCCAAGCCAUUCAGAUGGUCUGGACAGUCGCUGGGCACUGCUGGCAGUGGUGCUCAGGCAUCGGGCUGCUCGGCACCUGGGGCAGCGCUGGAGGCAGUGUGUCACACGUGGCCUGUUGCUGCUGGGGCUGGCAGGCUCUGGCAGCUCACACUCACCCCAGCUGAUUCAGGCAGGCUGCAGAUCAGCCGUGUGCUUGAAUGCGGGCCGUGGGGAUGUGCCACGGGGAUGGUCCCUCUGUGGGCUUUCAUGGGAGAAGGAACAGAUCUGCUGAGAGGCCGUGGUGCCACCCUUACUUCCCUUCAGGUACCUCUGGAGGAGCCUUCAUGUAUGAAACCACGAAGGCAUCUGCUUUUACCUUACAUGUUGCGUCUAUGAUAAAAGCCAUGUGUGACCUUUUCUUCUUCUGUUAGAGGAAGAGGCCCAUCUGGCCUUAAGUUAAUGCUUUUCCUUUCUCAAAUCCUGUUUUUCUAAGCGUCUCACCAAAACACUCACGUUGUUUUUAGGACAAAUAUCUAGAGACCAACUCUGCUCUGAUGAAAUAGGAACCAAAGCUCCCCUCCGUGCCCAGCGGCCACACACGGCUGGCACCAGCAGCAAUGUGCCCACUGCCCAGCCCAGCCCUGGGCUGCACAGCAGUGCUGUGAGAGCUCUGGCUGAUGGAACAGCGACAGGGAGAUUGUGUAACGUGCUGUGGGCUGUGAGAGUCUGAGAGGUUAGCAGAAAACCUGCUUAUGGUUUAUUGUCACGGCCAGGCCUUACUGGAAAGGAAGCCCAGCGUCGCCUUCAAAGGGAGCUGCUCAGUGCUACUGAGUGUUUGAUACUGUUCCCUGCAUGCCUCUCCUUCAGCUGCUGUCUCAAGAAGGCAGCACUGAGCGCUGUUCUGAGAUUUUAUGAGCAAGUGCAGAGGCAGGAAAGGCUCUUUCUCAUACAGUGUGCUGCACCGUGAUUUCUGUGUGUGAUGUAUGGUGUAAAGCAGCCCUGGCUGUUUGCUGCACCCCCGGUGCACAGCGUCACUGGGAGAGCCCCUCCAGCACUCCCAUCUGGGGUGGCUGGGCAAGAGUUUCUUGGAGUUACGUUGUGACACUGUGUCUGCUGUGGAAAUAGCAGUAAGCACAGAGUGACCUCCUCUCUGCUAACGCCCUUCUUAAAAAUCCAAGGCUUGGAGCAGAAAGAGCCAGAUGUAGAAGCCUCUGUUUUUAGUUUGAGACGUGUCCCUUUAAAGCUCUGCUGUGGUUGGGUCCGUCUGUGCUUGUCAUUCCUUUGUUAACCAAAAAUCCCAAGCUGAGGAAAAUGAAGAACCGCUUCGCAGUUGUAGUGAGAUGGAAGAGGCCGUGGGCUGUGGCAGAGCCAGAACUUCUGCUUGGGAUAAAAACUAUUUGAGUGACUUGGAACUGCGGAGCUGGCUCACUUCGUUGUGCUGCCUUCAGAUGGCCGGACGUUGUGCUGAGUCAGCAGUGUGCUCCACAGCCUGUGCUGUUCCUUGGCUGUGCCUCGGGCCGGAGCACGCCUUUGCACUGAAGCCCUUCCAUCCUUUCUUUUCAGCUUACUCACAGAUGCACUUACAUUUCCCUGCUAACUUUCAUUCUGCUCUUGUGACUGGCUGCUGUGGCAGUGUCUCUUCUUCCUUCCCACGGAUUGUGGAGCGCUGAUGUGGAUGUCUGAUUUCAGGAGGUCUGCUACCAUUCCAGUUUUGUUUCCCUUGUUCCAUGCAUGCACAUUCUUCUCGCUCCUGACAGCUAUGGGGACUAUCCUCUGACUUGUGUGCCCAGCUGCAAAGCAGAGAUUUUGCUGAGUGCCAAAAAGCUCUUGUGUUUCUCUUGCAGUGACUGGGUUCCAGGUUCUGCUCGAAGGAGCAGAAAGAUCCAAUUUCAGCCAGUUGGAUUUUCCCAAACCAGCCCUCCCCCUCCCCCCCCCCACUGGGAUGGCCACACAGUGCUGCUGUGUUUGGGUGUCAACACCUUCACACAGGAAUCUCUGCAAGGAAACCUUCUGGCAACUAAUCCCCAUGCAUCGUGUUUGGGAGUCCUUUAGGGAGAGGCUGUGACCCCACAGAGUCCCCUGCCUGCAUGUGUUUUUUCCAAGUGAGCAUUCAGACUGCUGCUCUUUCUGCUGGUUUUUCACAUUUUAACGAGUCCCGGGCGACAGAAGUACUGAGCUCAAAAAUAAAUAAAUAAAUAAAAUCAGGAAAUGCCCCAUUAAUGCACUGGAGAUAGAAUCAGGCUGGAAAACUCAAAGAUGGACUGUAAUAGCACUGACCAUGAUGUAAAACCUGUGUGUUGAGCCGGCCAGAUGCCAGGAGCCUCAGGCUCUAAUCACAGCGCUGAGCUUGGCUAAUAAAACUAAAGAAGAGUGGAAAGAAAAAGGAAAAAAAGAGGCCUUGUUUAAAUUUCCUGAUGUUUCUCUAGGCACGCUCCUCUUGUCACAUGCUUUAACAAUGUAAGAAUUGCUCUGUUUCUAAGGUCUUUCAGGUGAAACGUGUUCUCCAACCUCUGGCAGCCCCAGCCUUUCCAGGUCUCCUUGCCCAUCAGCACCAGCACAGCCAGCGUUUCAGGAGCAGCUGCUGAGCGAUGCCCUGAAGCUCUGUCUGCAUGGCUGCAUCACAGAGAGUAGCACGGACUGUCUUGCAAGAAUGGAAAACUGUGAGAAAGAAUGUGAAGGUACAGGAAGGCAAUGUGUCCAUCUGAAGUUUAUGGAAGUGCAAUUGCCAGUAUGCACCUUGGGUCUAAAGCAACAUUCAGACUGAUACUUAAAGUAGCAGUGCGUGUCUUGCUAGUUGCCCUUACUCUCACGGGUAUCACAGCUUUUCUGUGCUUGACUCUUUUUCAUACCCUUUUUCUGUAUGGAAUGGGAAAGUAAGAAUAGCUGGAAUGUUUGUGCAUUUCACAAAAUGGCAUGAAUU